rnacentral:lncRNA from 1 species
UUGAUUUUGGAUCAUAUUCUCAAGCAGCCAAUAUUUGAUUAGACUCUUUGAUCAGCCCAAGCAUUUUUCCAAAGGUCAACUUGGGUCAGCGAUCCACCUCCCACGUGGGUUCAGCAUGAUCAAAAAGAAAGAAAUAGCAUAUCUAGGAUUUUAGCAACUGCAUCAUAAACCUCAUCCAGAACAAGAAUAUUUCUGAAGUAAAUGAUUCAUGCACAUGAAAACUUACGCAUCAGAUAAUUUGCAUGCCCUCUCUGACCAUCCAAGUGAUUGAUAGUUGGGACUUGGGAGCAAUUUUUUGGCCUACUCAAAAUAUGAUGAAUUGGUUUCAUAAUGAUUAUUACCUCAUUCAAAAUAUAACACGUGAAUUUAUUUUUAGCUUUUUAGCCAAAAAAGUCAUUGAGAUUAUUAUAACUCUUCAGUUUGAUUCCUGAGAUUUAAAAUCGAUAAAAGUAGUCCCUAAGAUUGUCCAGCGUCAAUCAUUUUGAUCUUCUAUGAAAAUUUUUCGUUAAAUUGAAGAAACCAUCAGUUCAAGGGGAGAUGUUGAUUUGACAAAAAUACUCUUAAUUUAACGAAGACUUCUCACAAAAUGACCAAAAUGAUUAUCGGUGGACAAUCUCAGAAACCACUUUUAUCGAUUUUAAAUAAGAAAAACUAAUGAAAAUGACUUGAAAACUUUGAGUUUUAAUGAUAAUGACAAAAUAAAGGGUAAAGUAAAUAGUACCAGGAUUGACUUUUUAGUGUAAAAAUGUGAUUUUUCGUUAAAGUGAACAGUACCGGAAGCUUUUCGUUACAGUUUCCUUUUAAAUAUUAGAAACUGAAUUGAAGAAUUAUGCCAAUCAUAAGAAUUACUUUGGACAAAAAACCUUUAUUCUUUAUUAAUAUUCUGAAUAUUAGAGAUAUUUUUGAAGUAGGAUGUAUCAAUAAUACCGAUAAAAAAACUUUUAUUAUAACAUGUGGGAUCCAAAUACCACAAAAUUUUCUCAUAGCAGCACAGGGCCGGUGUCCACAUUUGCUGACAUGUCAACGAAAUACAAGUCCCAUGCAAUCCGAGGUAGCAAAAAGAUGCUUGCGUGUUGACCUAUGAUUGGAUAAGGGAGAAUCCUAAUCGAUGACCACAUUUUCGGUCACCAGACAUGAUGAAAUUCCACGUGAAUUAAAACAAAAAAACCUUGGACAGUGCCCCUUCAAUCUUUAUUCCCUCAAAUACGUGUGACUAUUUUUAAAAGGAAGGGGAAAGGAAGGAUGAGGCCACCUUUCCCCUCAAUUAUACACACUUUUGGAGAAUCUACAACUCCAUAUCGGAUCCCCAAUGCCCAUCGACAUGCAUAACCAGCAAAAAAAUAGCCGUGCCUUUGGAAUAUUUGAAUAUUCUCACCCGUAUGGACUGAUAUUUUUUAGAUAGACAGCACUCAAUAAUCCUAAUCACCUUAAUUGAUCGCGUAGAAACGUCUUAAUUAGAUUGAAAAAGUUUGAACACUACUAAUCACUAAUGAGGAAUGACUAGCUGUGUGAAAUAAUAGAGAACACAUCAAUUCUUAAAAGCUAGCUCUAUCCUUGCUAUCCUAUCCUUUAGUCUUUGGUGGAUUUUGUUCAGAUUUUAGAAACCUAAUUGUGGAGCAAAACAUAAUCACAAGGCGAUACGUGGAUUUUUGGACAAAAGAAGACAAAAAUAUCCUAUCCUUUGGAAUAUUUGAAUAUUCUCACCCGUAUGGAUUGAUAUUUUUUAGAUAGACAACACUCAAUAACCCUAAUCACCUUAAUUGACCGCGUAGAAACGUCUUAAUUAGAUUGAAAAAGUUUGAACACUACUAAUCACUAAUGAGGAAUGACUAGCUGUGUGAAAUAAUAGAGAACACAUCAAUUCUUAAAAGCUAGCUCUAUCCUUGCUAUCCUAUCCUUUAUUCUUUGGUGGAUUUUGUUCAGAUUUUAGAAACCUAAUUGUGGAGCCAAAAAUAAUCACAAGGCAACACGUGAAUUUUUGGACAAAAGAAGACAAAAAUACCCUUGAGGUACAAUGGGAUUCCUACGCGCGAGCAGCAGACAAUCAUCCUUCAACCAAAUCAAAAGUGCCCAAAAUAGGUAAACAAUUCAAAACUUAUCUCCUCAAAUCCCUUCUACAAGGUAACUCCCAAAACCUAUUUCAUUCCAUAUAUUUUUUACCUCUUUCUCCAUUUUUUAAGCUAAUCAAUUAGCUAUUUAUUUUAAUCAUUCCAUAACCUUCAAAACAUUCUCUAAAAACCUAAGUUCAUACUCUUGCAAAACUCCAAAAACUCUCUAAACAAUUUUCUCUCUAAUUAAAUUGCUCGUAAUUCAUAUGAAUCCUAUCUUUUGCAAGGUCAAUUAUGGAAACAAAAUGUGUGAGUAAUGAAUUGGGGGUUUUUUUUUUUUUUUUUUUU